UUCAAUUUUUCUCUGAUCAUGGGUUUACAGCAGAACAGUAAAUGAAACAGUAAUCUUUUUAAAAAGAAAUGUAAGAAGCAACUAGAAAAAAGCAGAGAAAAAAAAUCAUUAAAGGAGAGAAUCAGGCAUGUUCAGGGUUUCCCCACUGUUGGCAUUAUUCAGAAUUUACCUAGAAGCUACAGAAGAGACCAUUUACAGUGACCAGUGACAAAGUAAGAAGUUCAAGACACCUCCACAGGCACAGAGGAGUUCAGAGACAUAAAGGCAGGCUGGGGAGUGCCAGCCUUAGCCCAGUUUGAGUCCCAGUUUCUUCCAGGACUGCUCCAAGCCUCUCCCAGUGGGACAGUGGAGCAGUUUUCCAUGUGACCUCACAGACAAAGGGAGUCAGUGCCCGGGAUAUGGGAUCCCUGAUGUGCAAUAGAAGGGCACUGAUAUGGAGAUGGUCUGGGCUCAAGAGAGGCUCAGCCUUUCAACUGGCUAAUCAAGGGACCAGGACAUUCCAAACAGUUACUGAAGGGUCCAAAGGGUCUAGAGAUCAACCAAGGGACCCUUCUGCACGUGUGUGUCUCUGUGUGAGAGGGUUCUGGGCUCAAGAGCCAGCCUCUGAGUAGAAUGUGAGUGUAAGGGGGACUGCAGGGACCCACACUGCGCAUGUGUUGGUGUGAGCAAUGUUGGCAGCUUCAAGGUCUCAAGAUGCAGGGCCAGAAACUGGGCAGGACUGAGCACCUGAGAUCCAUUACUGUAGGGACACACACACCUGGUUGCACGAAGUAACCAGAGAGCAAUUUUCUUGCAACUAUUGUUGCAAUAGUUCAUAUUGCUUCAGGAUUGUAAGACUGCAUGAGUCUCAGAUGCACCAAGAGGCAAGAUCCCACCCUAAGCAACAAUUCUGCUUUGCAACUGUUUUCUGGCUCCAGAGAAAUCCUAACCCAAGCUGUGGAGAAAAUCUGGGAACCACUGCCUGACAGGGAGGUGAAUUGCCACUGAAUUUCUUCUGUGUAUGAGUUGACAGCUUUUCCUAAAGUCUGAUUUCUACAAAACAAGGCUAUUAAUAAUUAAGGAGUGAGUAAAAGCUCAUGUCACUGCUCCGCUAUUUGGUAUUGGCAUUUGAUGACAGCCACAUUUCUAAAUGUGAUUUAGAUG